UACGGAGGGUGCGAGCGUUAAUCGGAAUUACUGGGCGUAAAGGGUACGUAGGUUGUUUAUCAAGUUAACUGUAAAAUUCCUGGGCUCAACCUGGGAUUGUCAGUUAAGACUGAAAGGCUAGAGUAUAGGAGAGGGUAGUGGAAUUUCCGGUGUAGCGGUGAAAUGCGUAGAGAUCGGAAGGAACACCGGUGGCGAAGGCGGCUACCUGGCCUAAUACUGACACUGAGGUACGAAAGCGUGGGGAGCAAACAGG
rnacentral:rRNA from 1 species